UAUCACUGAAAAGCAAUCUGGCAGUUCACUUUACUGCAUCCAGAAAGAAUUCAGUCUCAUGCCGUGGUUAAAAAAAUAAAAAAUAAAUAAAAUGCACAAAAUGAGAAGCAUUUCCAUGAGUAAUUUCGCACAUGCUGCUAAGUACUGCAGAGAUUGCCAAGACUAGCCUUUAAUCUCAAUGGGAAGCCGUAACAGCUGUAAACCCUUAUUUGCUGUCAAAUGUCUUUUGCAGGGUUAUUAGAAAAGAUAGGAGGCAAAUCCUUCCAAGUUACCUUACUUGAUUCUUUUGACCUGCUUUUAUUAUCAUUACACUUUCUAUCUGUUGAUAGCAAAAUGUGCUUAUUUCACCAGCCCUGGACAAAAUCAAGUCGGGCUCAUAAGGCACUCAUGUUUUCACCACUCUGCCUCUCGGCUCUCACCUCUACUCUCUCCCCACAGGUUUUUCGCCCCCUAAAUCCCACUCCUGCCUCCCUUCCAAACCACUCAUUAACAAUCGCUUUGGCAAAAUGUGGACCAAUGGGGUCCGCCAACCUAUUUUCAUGGAUCAUCAUGAUUCUUGUCUCAGAAGCUACCAUGCUACAGGAGCCCAAGGUCCAAGAGGACUCAUGCAUAAUCUUCACCUAUUCCAAAGAAACUACUGGAGUCCGACUGGGAGAGACAGGGCUCUGUUCUAUUUGCAGGAGUGCCUGGCUGCUAGUUGGUCAGUAAUUCGUGCCACCUUUUCAGACUGCACAGCAUUAAGUAGUGCACAGUAAGCAAGCACAAUUGGCCGGUGGUCAAAGCAUCCAGGCUAUUCCCUGGUGCUCCACAAAGCUGUUAACUCAAGGACAAAUGUGCAGCUGUAUUCGGCUCCCAUCCACCUUCUCCACCAGAUGCUGCUUGGAAUGUUUACCCAGGGCCACAGCCGAUAUCCCAGAGGCCUCCUCCAAGGCACAGAAUGCUCCUUCCCCUGGGGGAAGGGAACAACCGUAGAGGCAAAAAGAGAAAGAGUUGCUAUCUGCUUGUUCACUAUCCAAGUGUCCCCAAUGGCCAGGCUGGAGCUAGGACCUGGAACACAAACCU
rnacentral:lncRNA from 1 species